CUGUCCUUCGGCCUGUCAGGCGGUCAGUCAGUCGGUCGUCGGCCAGUCAGGCGGUCGCCCUGUCAGCGGUCAGCGGCCCGCGGCCCCACGAGGGCUCACUGCAGCAUUUACCCACGAGCUGGAGAACGUCGCCGCCAACGACGAAUAAAUACGUACCGAUUAGUAUUUUAAAUACCUACUGUGUUCAGGCUGCCACAAGGGGCCGAAAGGAAGCAGCGCUUUUCUAAAGUGUUCAUAAAGACUUACUCCUGCCAAAAACCUGGUGAAAAGUUGGAGGAUGUGGGGACUGCUGCAGAACAACUACUACAGAAGAGAAGCAAGCCCACCGCCUCCAGGCCCUGGCCCAAGUAGGAAUUUUAAAGAUAUUUCACUUUAUCUUCACACAAAUCACAAUGAGACUGUUAUCAUUAUUUCCCUCUUCAUCAAAGGAAACUGUUGUCCAAGAUCACUCACCCAGGGAGGGCAGGGUCUGCUGUACCUGGCCUGACAGUUCCAAACCUGUGCCAUCUCCUGUAGGGCUCUCUCCACUCUUCUGAAAGAGAAGAUUCUCUGUGGCGUCAUCCGUGUCUACUGUCACUGUCCUUGUUAGGAUGUCCAGACACAGGUCUUUGUUUCAACCAUGAGGUAAACAGCAGUCUUUCGCCAGGCCCUUCCACCAUACCAUUUCUGCCUUGGAGUACACCAACCAUGGACUGCACCCUCUGAAAACUGAGCCAAAUUCUGCCCCAGCAACAAGCCUCUCCUCCACACCUUAUAGCUUGACUUAACCUAAGAAUGGAAGAGACAAAGUUCCUGAUGACAACAUGACCAUGUUAGUUCUCAAUAUAUUCAGAGGGUUCAUAUCCCGAGAGUUGGCACGGAGCCCACUUUCCUUACUCCAGCACACCUCAGGUUUCCCCAUCAGGGAAGCUCCACGUGUACCUUGGGUAAUAUGGAACUAGCCCUGCUCCACACUUGGGCUGCUUUAUAGAACAAGCUGCAUGCACUUGAUGGAAGAAUGAACUAUAUGCUCUCAGCCAGCACCUGCUCACCAGAAAAUCCAUGCUCAGGGAAUGCACUGACUUGAAUCACCCCAAAGUAGUUCUAUCUCAGGAAGCCACAAAUCCACUAUAAUGCAUCCAAUAAAAUGUACUUGUUCUGUCUUAAAAGAGGCUGGGUACCACAGAAAGUAACUUUCUGUGAAAGUUAGAAAGCUAGAGAACCAUCUCUAGCUUCAGGAUGACUGCUUCCUGAUUUUUCUCAAAUUAGCCAUAUUCUCAUUCAGAGUUUCUUAAUUAGAAAGAACAAGAGUAGGAAAGGCAGCCAGAGAUUCAGCUCAGUGGUUCCACCACCUGCUUUGCAAGGGCAAGGUCCCAAGUUCGAUCCCUGAUACCAAAAAAAACAAAAGAGUAAGGAGAGGCAAUGACUUAGAGACUAACAGCAAAGUUUUUUGAAAUAUCAACCUAACAGUCUUUCAGAAUAAAAGGAACUCAGUCUUGCAGAGAAUUUGGUCUAUAAUUUUCUUUUACUUUAUAAUCAAAUCAUGCUAAUGUAAACCAAAAAAACAACUUGAACUAAACAUGUAUUUCACUCAUGAGCAAUUACAAAGCAGGCAUUUCAAAUCAGUGUUAAUCUAAUGUUUUUAAAACAAUUAUUGUAUUUCAAGGUCCAAUAUCUGUCAAGUAAAUCACUGAUUUCUGAUGUAAAAGUCUAAUUAGUUUACAGCCAUUUCACAUCUGCCUUAAAGUUUUUUUUCAUGAUUUCAUUCUAAAUACACAGAAUAAAAGAUGGUGUCAGGGCC